rnacentral:rRNA from 1 species
CAGUCGCCACGGGAAUACGUAGGGUGCAAGCGUUAAUCGGAAUUACUGGGCGUAAAGCGUGCGCAGGCGGUUCGCUAAGACAGAUGUGAAAUCCCCGGGCUCAACCUGGGAAUGGCAAUGGAUACUGGCAAGCUAGAGUGUGUCAGAGGAUGGUGGAAUUCCCGGUGUAGAGGUGAAAUGCGUAGAGAUCGGGAGGAACAUCAGUGGCGAAGGCGGCCAUCUGGGACAACACUGACGCUGAGGCACGAAAGCGUGGGGAGCAAACAGGAUUAGAUACCCGCGUAGUCCCUGUCUCUUAUAC